GACGAACGCUGGCGGCGUGCUUAACACAUGCAAGUCGUACGGUAAGGCCCUUUCGGGGGUACACGAGUGGCGAACGGGUGAGUAACACGUGAGUAACCUGCCCACAACUUUGGGAUAACGCUAGGAAACUGGUGCUAAUACUGGAUAUGUGCUCCUGCUGCAUGGUGGGGGUUGGAAAGCUCCGGCGGUUGUGGAUGGACUCGCGGCCUAUCAGCUUGUUGGUGGGGUAGUGGCCUACCAAGGCGGCGACGGGUAGCCGGCCUGAGAGGGUGACCGGCCACAUUGGGACUGAGAUACGGCCCAGACUCCUACGGGGGGCAGCAGGGGGGAAUAUUGCACAAUGGGCGCAAGCCUGAUGCAGCAACGCCGCGUGCGGGAUGACGGCCUUCGGGUUGUAAACCGCUUUCAGCAGGGACGAAGCUUUUUGUGACGGUACCUGCAGAAGAAGCACCGGCUAACUACGUG
rnacentral:rRNA from 1 species